CAGUACUUUUAUCAAACACAGUGACAACAAAUUUGUAAUGUCAAUUAUUAACGAUCUUACAUGGAUUCAACAGGAUGAUAUGGUACAAGAACUCAUACUUUACCUAAUGGAGCUAGAAAGUGAUAUAAAUAAAAAAGCUGGUCCAAUUUUGAGUUAUACUGGAAGGAAAAUUGUUUGGCCUGAAAUAAUUGCCUCCUUAAUCAUGAGUAAAUUUGGAAUCAAAUAUGAAGCAGCUGUAAAUUGUAUAUUAGAAAGCA